rnacentral:lncRNA from 1 species
CUUCUCUAAUUUUUUACUAUAUACCAGUAGAGAAGUCUCUUUUUGAUGCCUAAACACCAGUAAGCAAAGCCUCAUAAAAUCACUAAGAAGAAGAGGAGAAAGAGGAUGUUGGUGUAAGGGAUGUUGGGGCAUCCAACUCUUCGACACCCCCUCCUUAUUUUUGGGUGACAAGAAGAAGGGAGGGAUGCCUCCUUUUUCAUGGAAGGA